AGAGUUUGAUCAUGGCUCAGGACGAACGCUGGCGGCGUGCUAACACAUGCAAGUCGAACGAAGUAUGUUUUUCGGAAUGUACUUAGUGGCGGACGGGUGAGUAACGCGUGAAUAAUCUGCCCCAUACAGGGGGAUAGCCUCGGGAAACCGGGAUUAAAACCGCAUGAUGCUUUUUUAUCGCAUGGUAGAGAAGUCAAAUCGAAUAAGAGGUAUGGGAUGAGUUCGCGUCUGAUUAGCUGGUUGGCGGGGUAAGAGCCCACCAAGGCGACGAUCAGUAGCCGGCCUGAGAGGGUGACCGGCCACACUGGAACUGAGACACGGCCCAGACUCCUACGGGAGGCAGCAGUAGGGAAUAUUGCGCAAUGGACGGAAGUCUGACGCAGCGACGCAGCGUGAGCGAUGAAGGCCUUCGGGUUGUAAAGCUCUGUCCUUGGGGAAGAAGGUCUUCGGACUUGACGGUACCCAAGAAGAAAGCCCCGGCUAACUACGUGCCAGCAGCCGCGGUAAUACGUAGGGGGCGAGCGUUGUCCGGAAUUACUGGGCGUAAAGGGUGCGUAGGCGGCCCUUUAAGUCAGAUGUGAAAGCCCGCAGCUUAACUGCGGAAUUGCAUUUGAAACUGGAGGGCUUGAGUGUCGGAGAGGGUAGUGGAAUUCCCAGUGUAGCGGUGAAAUGCGUAGAUAUUGGGAGGAACACCAGUGGCGAAGGCGACUGCCUGGACGAUAACUGACGCUGAGGCACGAAAGCUAGGGGAGCAAACAGGAUUAGAUACCCUGGUAGUCCUAGCCGUAAACGAUGGGUACUAGGUGUAGGUGGUUUCGAUACCAUCUGUGCCGUAGUUAACGCAUUAAGUACCCCGCCUGGGGAGUACGUGCGCAAGCAUGAAACUCAAAUGAAUUGAC
rnacentral:rRNA from 1 species